AACGAACGCUGGCGGCAUGCCUAACACAUGCAAGUCGAACGAGACCUUCGGGUCUUGUGGCGCACGGGUGCGUAACGCGUGGGAACCUGCCCUUAGGUUCGGAAUAACUACCCGAAAGGGGUGCUAAUACCGGAUAAGGUCUUCGGACCAAAGAUUUAUCGCCUUUGGAUGGGCCCGCGUUGGAUUAGCUAGUUGGUAGGGUAAAAGCUGACCAAGGCGACGAUCCAUAGCUGGUCUGAGAGGAUGAUCAGCCACACUGGGACUGAGACACGGCCCAGACUCCUACGGGAGGCAGCAGUGGGGAAUAUUGGACCGUGGGCGAAAGCCUGAUCCAGCAAUGCCGCGUGAGUGAUGAAGGCCUUAGGGUUGUAAAGCUCUUUUACCCGGGAUGAUAAUGACAGUACCGGGAGAAUAAGCUCCGGCUAACUCCGUG
rnacentral:rRNA from 1 species